GUUAAUGUAGCUUAAACCUAAAGCAAGGUACUGAAAAUGCCUAGAUGAGUGUAUUAACUCCAUAAACA
rnacentral:tRNA from 1 species